GGCUCUGCUCAGUGACCUUGACCCCAGGGAGCACAUUUCCAUUAAAGUUGACACCUCCAGCUUCUCUCUAUCUGGGCCCCUCAGAAAGUAUCCAUCGGAUGUGGCCCAUGACACCCAACCUUUGGCCUAACUUUGGGGGUCUGCCCUCCCCUUCACCCUGCUGCCAGCAGUACACGAGCCACCGAGUGCCCUCUGACUUUCCAGGCGGGCGUCGAGGCGCUGCGUGCCCUGCACUGCGGGGAAGAAGAUGAAGAUUCUGAGGGGCCCUCUCAGGCCCUGCUUCCGAGAUCUGGGGUGAAGGGGAAACACCCUCUACUCUUCUCCUUUGGGGUUAGAGAGGGGACUCACAGGACUUCAACGGCUCUUUCCAAAACUCCGCUUCUUAUCCCCAACCGCUGCCCGUGCUUUAGACCCUCCGUGUGUGAGGAGUUUGCACCCUUCAGAGUUUCAGCUGGAAAGUGGAUCUAUCGUCUUGGUGCUUCAGAGGAAACUUCUACAAUAUUCAGAUGGACGGGGCUCUCAGCCCCUCGACCACAAGGCUGUUCCAGCCUGAGCAGGAGGAGACGCUAUGCCAAGGCCCAGCUGUGGGAGAGUCUGCGUUUCCCGUGCCAUCCACUUGGAAAGGGCCUUCGUGCAGUCAGGGACUGGUGUGAUGGGGAGAAGGAGCCCAGUUUUCUUCUUGGGCGUUCCAGCCAAAUCAGGCUUGUUGAAGCCCUUCCCUGACUGCCAAGAGGGAGACCACUGCCUCCAGCCGGGAGUGCAGGAUGCCCAUUCUCACGUGGAUUCUCGUCCAUUGGAAUCUGGAGACAGGCCUGGACUUGGAGCCUUCUGCUCGUUGUCUGACCACAGGCAAGCCACUCCACCUCUCUGAGCUUUGGUCUUCUCGUUUGCACAAUAGGCAACUGGAAGUGAAAGUAUGGCUGCCAACAGGGAGACGCCUGCUAGACCGUGGUUGUUACAAAGCAGAAUCGUGGUCUAGCAGGGGGAAUAAUGCAUCCCAACCAGCGUCAGAAGGAGGCGCCAGCAGAAGGCCCGCUGCUCCCACGGGCUAAGGGGAUGAAUGACGGAGGCCAGGACCUUCCCAGGGCGUGCCUGCAGGCUUCUCCACCUAGACUGUCGUGGCCCAACCUCAGGCCAGCCCAGGCAACAGCGAGGCAAGGCCCGGCCUGGGUCUGCCGCCUCUCAGCCCAUUGGCCCUGUGGAUGCUGCGUUGCAAAACCACACUGUUUUGUUCUGACUUCCUCUUGGGUUCCCAGGAAGUUUAUUUACAGAAGUAAAAUUGCCUCGUAACGUAAAAAAAUAUUUUUUUUGCUGUGGUAAAAUAUACACAACACAAAAUUUACCAUUUUAACCACUUAAUGUAAAAAUGUACAACUGCAUGGUGUUAGUUCACAAUGUGCACAUUCCAGAUGUUGCAUAGCCAUCACCGCCAUUUG
rnacentral:lncRNA from 1 species